rnacentral:rRNA from 13 species
GUUCCUCUGAACGUACACUGCGCUGUCGGGAUAUCCCUGAAAGCAUGCCUGCUUCAGUGUC